UAAUUUCCUACCCCUAGAUAUAUGUUGCCCGCUGCCGACAGGGAGAACCUAAUCGUAAUCUAAUCUUCUGAGUUCUAGAUAUUUUGGCAGUGGGAAUUUUUGGAGGAGAAAACGAGGACUCGAGGAGGGAUAAGGAGAUUUGAAGAAGUUGAACAGAGGUCGGUGUGGAUCUUGCUGUGCGAAAAUCCUCAAGGGCUGAAGACUGGUGCUUGUAACUCUGCAGCAGGAUCUGCAAACACGGAGUUUGGAAAUACCAAG